rnacentral:lncRNA from 1 species
GACGCCAGCUCAACCAGGGGCAGUCGUGGACCAUCAACGUGAACGCGGGAACCACCGGCGGCCGCAUCUGGGGCCGCACCGGCUGCUCCUUCGACGGGAGCGGACGCGGGCGGUGCCAGACGGGCGACUGCGGCGGCGUGCUGUCAUGCACGGCGUACGGCAGCCCGCCCAACACCCUGGCGGAGUUCGCGCUCAACCAGUUCAACAACCUCGACUUCUUCGACAUCUCCCUGGUCGACGGCUUCAACGUGCCAAUGGACUUCAGCCCCACGUCAGGCGGCUGCCGCGGCAUCCGGUGCGCGGCGGACAUCAACGGGCAGUGCCCCGGGGCGCUGAAGGCGCCGGGCGGCUGCAACAACCCCUGCACCGUGUUCAAGACGGACCAGUACUGUUGCAACUCCGGCAGCUGCAGCCCGACCGACUACUCCCGGUUCUUCAAGAGAAACUGCCCCGACGCCUACAGCUAUCCCAAGGACGAUCAGACGAGCACCUUCACCUGCCCCGGCGGCACCAACUACAGGGUUGUCUUCUGCCCUUGAGAUCACUGACGCCACUAAUAAGCCGCCCUCGUGCAGGCAACCACGCAUAUAGAUAUAUAUACUAGUCUCCUACAAUACAAAUAAGAUGUCAAGAGUGAUGGAAGGUAUUAGCCUUCUCUUGGGCUAAUACUGUUGACUGAUGUAAUAGAAGUGGUGCAACCAACUAAUAAGAUGCAUAAUAUCAUCACAGCAUGAGUGCUUUUCCAUUGAUGUUUGAAUCAUUUUGUGAGAGCAAUCAGCUUAUGCAAUCAGCAAAAAGAAUAAUUAAACCAUUUCUAUUUAUGUCUUGUUGGCUUAAAACAUGAAUUGAUUUUGAAACAUAAUGAACCCUACAUAUAUAACUUCAUAAAAGAUAUCUCAAGGACCAUACAUUAUACAUACAUAUAUACAUAUAUAUACAUAUAUAUACACAUAUAUAUAUACAUAUAUAUACACAUAUAUAUACAUAUAUAUAUAUAUACAUAUACAUAUAUAUAUAUAUAUNNNNNNNNNNNNNNNNNNNNUAUGUAUAUAUAUAUAUGUAUAUAUAUAUAUAUCAUUUAGGAUGAUGAGUCAUCGCCUAUCCAAUUUGGACCUCUGCCAUUCUCCGUAGAAACUUUGCGUAGCCAUUUUCCAAUACAAUUGCGCGUUGACCAGAGUGCGUCCAUGUGAUCCUCCCCGGUAAGUUUGGUGCCCGAAAUUAUCCGGCAAGUAUGGCUUUAAAUAUUGGAAUUAGUUGCUCUUUGUUUUACGUAGGCCGAUCAAGAUGAACAGAGAGAAUGAUGCUGACUAAUUGAGCCCUGACCAAUCGAGGGCUUCAGGACUCGAGCCCCGACGCGCCCUCGGGAAGCUGCCGCGGGAGGCGGACAUCGAUGGGCAGUGCCCGCAGGUGUUGAGGGCGCCGCGGCGGGUGCACCGCUCGACCGUGUCCAAGGCGGACCGGUACUGCUGCAGCUCCUGCAACUGUGCGUCAAGCGGCUACUUCAGCUUCUUGAGGAGGAACUGCACCGAUGGCUAUAUCUUCCCACAACCUUACGGCCUGGCUUCCACCACUAGUUUCUACGGUAGUCUUCCUCCUCCAAGAGUCGAAUUCAGCUUCCUACAAGAUUAUAAUGAUGGUUUGUAUCAAUUAGUUGUUAAAUUGUAUUUUGGAACCUAAUACAUAUUUUAAAUAUAAAUUCAUAUUUAAAGUUUCUUUAACAUCACAUUUGUCAUGAAUAUAGUGUCAGUAAAUGCUUAAAUUCUGAAACUAUCUUAGAAUAAUUAUAACAUCUCGAGUAAUCUCACAUAAAAAAUGAAUAAGAUUAAAAUUAACUUAUGAUAGUAUAUUACUAUCAAUAUUAAUUUGAAUAUUUUGAUUGCUUGGAUUCAAGAAAAUUGAUAAGUCAAUUAGUUAAUCAAUUGUGACAUUCGAUAUCAAAUUAGUAUUAGGAUAUAGUAUAAUCAAAUUACUAUUAGCGUAUCGUGAGUGAGCUUCGUACUCGUUCAUUGUGAAGUCAUCUUGGGCUAUGUCUUACAUGCCGCGCUAUAUUGAGUCUUUGACAAUGAUUAAUUUUUUUUUUAUAGUUCACACAUAAAAAUAGAUUUUGAACUAUUUAAUUUUAAAAAUCAUAUUAUUUAUUAUAAAAUAUAUUUAUUAAAAUUUAAUUAACUAAUAAAAUUAUUAACUUAUUCACAUAAUUAAGAAAAUCAAUUUUAAUCAUUUUCUUAGCCAUACUAUACAAACAAAAUCACAAUGUAUAUAUUUUUCUUAAAUUUUUAUCUUAAAUGCAUGUUGCUAAUUAUAAUACUUGAUUUAUAUUUAGAUUUAUAUGAUAGUUGAUUAAAAAUAUUAUUUCUUCUCUUAUGUAAUUUUAUCUUUUUAAUAAUCUAUUGUUUAUUAUAUUUUAAUGACUCAAUGCUUGGGAUUAGAUGUUUUUUACUAUAAUUUCAUAAUGCUAUAAUUUAGAAUUGAAGAAAUUGAUUAGGAUUUGGGUUAUAUCUCACACGUACAAUCUUAGAGUUUGAGUUGGGUUUUAAUAAGGAUCAUUUAUUUUUUAUAUAAUAUUUAUUUCCUAUGAUUCACACAUAAAAAUAAAAUUUAAAUUAUUUACUUUCUAAAAAUUGCAUCACUCGUUGAGAAACGAAUCAAUUAAUAAUUUAAUUAAUUUAGUAAUCAUAUUACAUAAAUAAAAUCAUAAUGUGUAGUAUUUUAAAAUUUUUUAUCUUACAUGCAUGAUGCACGAUGAUAAUUAUAAUCCUUGGUUUCUAUUAUAUUUAUAUAGUAAUUUAUUAAAAAUAUUAUUUUCUCACUAAUGUAAUUUUAUUUUAAAAUUUAUUACUAUUUAUUAUGUUUUUAAUGACUCAAUACUAAUGAUCAGAUAUUCUAAUUAGUAGUCAUAUUAGUAAUCAUUAAGAAAUUUAAUUUAAAUUAUUUCAGUAAUAAUAUUACAUAAAUAAAAUCAUAAUGUGUAGUAUUUUUAAAAUUGUUAUCUUACAUGCAUGAUGCAUGAUGAUAAUUAUAAUACUUGGUUUCUAUUAGAUUUAUAUAAUAAUUUAUUAAAAUAUUAUUUUCUCACUUAUGUAAUUUUAGUUUUAAAAUUUAUUACUAUUUAUUAUGUUUUUAGUGACUCAAUACUAAUGAUCAGAUAUUCUAAUUAUAUUUUUUAUAUUUUAAAAUUAAGAGAAUUGAUUAAGAUUUAAGUUGAAAUCAACAAACAAUUAGAGCUAACCCAUAGGCUAGCCACAACUCGUAGAUUAAGCUCAGCAAGCAAGUCAACCCAUAGCCUAUAGGACUCCAAUAUGAUCAGUUAUGUAAUGUACAGACCAAGUCAGAUUUCAUAAACUUAGAUAGAUUCAAGGUAAUUCUAAACUUAUUUAGUCUAUUCAUGUCUAUCUAAUCUAAAUCGAACUCAAUCUAGUCCAAAGUAUACAAGUCUAAGAUGAUUCUAGACUGAUUAAAUGAGAAUUAAAAAUCGAUUUUAUUAUACUAGAGUUAAAUCGAGUUCAAUUGAUUUUAAUUAAACUCGUUUAGAUCGAUUAAGUUCUAGUUAAAUCAGGUUCAAUUAGACCGAUUGAGUUAAGUUAGAUAAAACCUAGGGAUAUGAGUUAUAAAUAAUAUUCAUCAAAUUUCUUCAAUCUAAUUUAUGCUAAAAUAGUUCAAUAAUAAAAAAUAAUAACUGCAAUAAUUAUUGAAUGUUAAUCAGUAUAAUGAAAAAUUCAUAUAAUAACUAUAAUUAUGAUAAGUCAUGAAUUAUAUUUUUAUAUAAUUUUCAAACAUAUUAUAUAAAUAAUCAAAUAAAUAUCCAAGAAAAAUAAUUAGAUUUUUAUUUAUCACAUGCAAAAUUUUAUCAAUAUGACAAAUAAGAAAAUUAUUAAAGAAAAAUCAUAAUUUAUAUUUUUAAAAUUUUGUAUGAACCCUUAUACCAAUCAACCCUAUUUAAUUAGGUAAGCCCAUAAUUGGACUACCUAAAUUGGGCUAACAAUUUGCCUAAUUAGACCCAUUAAGAUUAAAGUUGAUCAAAAUAAAAAAAAGAUCAAAAAUAACUUUUUUUUAAUUUGAUCAAAAACUUAAUUGGUCGAAUUUAAAUCCAACCAAAUAGUUAAAAUAUAGUAAUGAUUAAGCUCGUUUAAAAGAUUUGAUUAAAAUAAAUCAAAUUAAUAAAUUUUAUAAUUGAGGGCAUAUCUCAAAAUAUUUUAAUUCAAAAGGGUAAAACUAUAAUUUUACUGGGAUAUGUAGAGAAAAUAUCUAAUUUCUGAAGAAUAUAAUUAUCAAAAGGACACAAGUUGAAAUUAAAAGACUUUAUAAGAAUAAAUUUAUAAUUUUAAAAAUAAAUCCUAAUCUUUCACCCAGAAAGGCUCUCUCGCAUUUGUCAUUGGUUCCACCAUGCCCACACGCAAAAGUCAACACCGCAGUGUUCGCCCACCACCUGCAUGGACAACGAGGCAGUUGUCCUUAUGCAUUCAAACGAUAACCUCAUCGGUCGUCGCGUUGUGCCAUGCUCAUGAGUGGCUAUUAUCAUCGUGCGCUUGACUAUAACACUUCAAAAACAAUAUGUAUGUCACUGACCGGAAGCUAUCGCGUAGUUACGCACACAUGCCGAUCGAUAACCCCCAGAAUCACUUUGAUGUGUGACUGUGCUCGCUUGUCUUGCUACAUAGUCGUUGGGAACAAUGGCUUUCAGUGUCCAAUCGAUGUUGACCAUGGCCAACAAGCACUACCACAGUGGUAUUACUGUAACCAUUGUACGUAGUGAAGCUAUAUAGCCACUAUAGGUGCAUGCGCACAUAGUGGCACUGUUACAAUCAUCGCACUUAGUAUUAUACCCCAUGGUGCUUCCAUUAGGUACGCAAUUGCUACUCGCGAUUGAACUAAUGACAAUCAAAAGUUGUCGCUCUUAACCAUAUUGUUAUCGACAAUAAGCUAGUCACAGUGAUCCAUUGAUCAAGUACGAGAAAAUUCAUAUCUCCCACAAAUAGGUGAUAAGAUCGAUUAAAUAGAAAAAUAGAUCAAUAAUAUAUAUGAAUCAUUCAUACAUCGUAAAUAAAAAAUUGAAUAACACUUUUUCAUAAGCCAAAGAUGCUAACAAAUAUAUCUAAAAUAAUUUAUUUUACAAACAUGACUCUGAUAUCAAUUGUAAGUAUAAAAACCAUCCUUAUGCUAUUGUUAUGCAGAAAACUUUAACACCAAAAUCUAAAAUCAAAUAAUAAUAGAUAAGAUUCAUGAUACGUACAUUUUGAUGCUAGUUAAAAAAGCUCUUAUAUGAUCUAUAGGUACACCAUCGUUGGAUCUGAAAGUUAUAGUAAUAUCGAUCUAUAAGAAGAAUUAGACUCAUCGUUUUCUCAUUUUCUAUCCUUUAUAGGACCACUACAAUGGAUUUAGAGACUAAGGGGAGAUGAGAGAAGAUUUAUAAUUUCUCACUGACUUAUUCACAAAAAUUUAUAAUUUUUUAAUAAUAUUUUGUAAACACGUAUCGUUUUUAUCUUCUUAUAGUAUUUCUAGGUGAGAAUAGAAAAUCUAUGAUAAGUAAUGAAUAGGGUCUUUCUAAUCAAAAUCUAUCUCUUAACGAAUUUUAUGAUAAUUUAAUUUUUUAUCAAUCUAUAAUCAUAAUUAAAAUUUAAUCAUAUCUAUAAUAUAUCUUAAAUAAAUAAUUAGUGAUAUAUAAUCUGACACCUCUCUCUUCUCUCCCUUAUAAAUUCCCCACCUCUCCACCCCUCGGAUCUGCACAACACAGAGCACGAAGCCUAAGACUCGCCGUUAGAUGGCUUCGUCAAGCAUUCUCUCCCUCUCCUUCUUCUCCCUUCUUGUCACCCUCUCCCAUGCCGCCAACUUCGAGAUCGUGAACCGAUGCUCUUACACAGUGUGGGCCGCGGCCGUGCCCGGCGGCGGACGCCAGCUCAACCAGGGGCAGUCGUGGACCAUCAACGUGAAAGCGGGAACGAC